AUUGAACGCUGGCGGCAGGCCUAACACAUGCAAGUCGAGCGGAUGAAGGGAGCUUGCUCCUGGAUUCAGCGGCGGACGGGUGAGUAAUGCCUAGGAAUCUGCCUGGUAGUGGGGGAUAACGUCCGGAAACGGGCGCUAAUACCGCAUACGUCCUGAGGGAGAAAGUGGGGGAUCUUCGGACCUCACGCUAUCAGAUGAGCCUAGGUCGGAUUAGCUAGUUGGUGGGGUAAAGGCCUACCAAGGCGACGAUCCGUAACUGGUCUGAGAGGAUGAUCAGUCACACUGGAACUGAGACACGGUCCAGACUCCUACGGGAGGCAGCAGUGGGGAAUAUUGGACAAUGGGCGAAAGCCUGAUCCAGCCAUGCCGCGUGUGUGAAGAAGGUCUUCGGAUUGUAAAGCACUUUAAGUUGGGAGGAAGGGCAGUAAGUUAAUACCUUGCUGUUUUGACGUUACCAACAGAAUAAGCACCGGCUAACUUCGUGCCAGCAGCCGCGGUAAUACGAAGGGUGCAAGCGUUAAUCGGAAUUACUGGGCGUAAAGCGCGCGUAGGUGGUUCAGCAAGUUGGAUGUGAAAUCCCCGGGCUCAACCUGGGAACUGCAUCCAAAACUACUGAGCUAGAGUACGGUAGAGGGUGGUGGAAUUUCCUGUGUAGCGGUGAAAUGCGUAGAUAUAGGAAGGAACACCAGUGGCGAAGGCGACCACCUGGACUGAUACUGACACUGAGGUGCGAAAGCGUGGGGAGCAAACAGGAUUAGAUACCCUGGUAGUCCACGCCGUAAACGAUGUCGACUAGCCGUUGGGAUCCUUGAGAUCUUAGUGGCGCAGCUAACGCGAUAAGUCGACAGACGGGGGAGUACGGCCGCCAGGUUA
rnacentral:rRNA from 1 species